UGAAGAUCGUUGCGCGGGACGAGAAUCUCGCUCUCUUCUUGCUGGACCACAAAGGUUGUGUUCGAGUGCGCUAAGAGAAAUUCACUUUUCAACGUAACAUCUCAUGGCUGUUAGCUGAUAUUGACGCACCGGUAGAGGACCUCAGAGGGCUUUUAGCUGGUAUUGACGCACCGGUCAUACAGGAGUUGGAGCCAUAUUCCAGAUCUCAUGGCUGUUAGCUGAUAUUGACGCACCGGUAGAGGACCUCAGAGGGCUUUUAGCUGGUAUUGACGCACCGGUCAUACAGGAGUUGGAGCCAUAUUCCAGAUAUUCGAGUUGCUGACCUCCCUGUCGCAGGUGGAAGGCAUCUGUAAAACAGUGUGCAAGGAGAUGUUCGGCUUGUGCCAGGACAAAAAUGACCCCUGCUGGCUAAGAUUGGGGGAAUGAUAGCCUUAAAUACUAGUGGUUCUGGGGAAAAUGUGUCCGUAAUGACUAACAAUGACAAGCUUGAUAAACCAAUAACGAAAGCACAUAUUUGCAUCAAAGUCAGCUUGUUACCUUAAUGAUAAUUGCUCUGCACAGGUAUUGACUUGAGUUGGCUCAGCCCUGAUGUAGUGAAUGUCUCCCAGCCCUGUGUCAACUACAAAUUUCGGAACCUCCUGUCCAACAUGGAGGUUGGUGUGCUCUGUAAGCUGCUUCAGUUCCAGUUAGAUCAUAACACGGUAGCUUUGAAGACCAGCACCACUCCACCCACUGACAACUGGAAACCACUAGUAUAUGUAGUAGCAUUACUGACGAUGGCCCGAGUUGAUGUCAGCUCGUUCCCGAGUAUCUCAGAGACGUGCAUGGUCAACUGGCUAAAGCUGAUAGAGGCCAGCUACCAGUGCACCUACAGACGUUCUCAACAGCACUGCUGACUUCUUUCAACGAGAAAAAAUCAAGUUAUAAAGGCUCUUGAAUUAACAGUUUAAGCAUAAGUUCUGACCCAAAAGAAAUUCACUUCAUCAGCAGAGGCCAGCUACAGACGUUCUCAACAGCACUGCUGACUUCUUUCAACGAGAAAAAAUCAAGCUUGGAUGGAUCUUGUUGCUCUCUUGGUGAUGUGCAAAGACUGAUUCUUGGCUCUGUCCUGAGUCUGCUGAUGGGACUAGGCAACUGUCAUACAGAAGUUGGAGCCAUAUUCCAGAUCUCAUGGCUGUUAGCUGGUAUUGACGCACCGGUAGAGGACCUCAGAGGGCUUUUAGCUGGUAUUGACGCACCGGUCAUACAGGAGUUGGAGCCAUAUUCCAGUUGAAAGAAUGAGACGAAGAAGCUCGAGUUACCAGGAAAGAAGUCUUCAUGUUGAUAUGUCUCAUGCUGAAAGAAGCGGCUAUAAAGCAUCUACCGAGGCGGUAAAUCAGCCUUCCAAAUCUCGUCUACCGGAGCUUGAGAACACCCCAAGAAAAGCCUGUCCCGAUAAGCAAUGUAAAAGACUGCCCCGUUGAGAAAUCUAAAAAGACACCUAGGAAAGAAUAAAUUCGCAGCAUCUGUGCCAGUGAUUGAAGCGCAGAAAAAAAGGCAGAGGUAGAGAGGCAAAAAACCAACGAGAGGGAAAUAGCAUCUACCAAGGGGGUGAAUCAGCCUUCAAAAUCUCGGCUACCGGAGAUAAAGAACAACCCAAGAAAAGCCUGUCCCGAUAAGCAAUGUAAGAAGACACAUAAGGAGAUCAAAGAAUAAAUUCAGAACAACCAAGUAUCUGCAAAGAAAACAAUUCGGCAAGCACCCUAGCAGCUGCAGCCAGUAGGUCAGCAGGGGGCACACAUACAUUGACAAUAUCCAAUUGAGAAGCUUUACUGGGCAAGUCCUUCAUCUCCACUGCAACUGAAAUGAGAAUGAUAUGAGGUGAUAAUCAAAUCACUAAAGGCACUGCAGUUUUUUUGCAAGUGUGUGGUGUAAACGUGAGUCUUCAAUACCAAACAACAACCACAGUGUUUUGAAGAAAUACAUAAGUGAAAUCAACAUCAUCAUCAUUGUGCACCAACAUCGUCAUUACAACGAGAUAGAAAGAUUGAUCACAAUUAAGAAUGAUUCUUUAAACAAUAUUAUUACUCCACAGAAGGAAAUCAGCUGAAAGGAGAAAAAAAAUCUGCCCAGCAUUUCAGUAUUAGUUCCAAUAAAACAAAGUAGAUGUAAGCUAUGUACAAAAACUCAUAAGUUUCAUGUUAUUUUUCCAUGCUUUUGAGGCGUCUUCUUUUGAAGAAAAAUAUACAGUGGCUUGUCUGCAUUUCUUUUUCCUGUUCAGCAUAACUCUUUUUUUUUUCAAAUUCAAAUUAAAAUUUAAAAAUAAUUUUGAGUGGUGAAAGGUCAAGGUCAUCCUUCAAGGUCAAAGGUCAACAAAAAAAAGCGGAGCAUUAGGGGGCUUUGUGUUUCUGACAAACUCAUCUCUUGUUAAUAUUGGCAGCUAAGGAAAUGUAGCAUAGUCAUAGCUUUGUAUUAUUUUCCUCCCAUGUGAAAGAUGUGACAAGUUUAACUUAUAUCUGUGAUUUACCUCUUUGAGAAUUCUGUUGAAAACGGUAUAAACCCCUAAUAAACAAAAACAUCUGCUACUGAAUAUAAGAUAUGGUAAAAAUAAUCAGCAACUAAGGAACUAAUGGUUUUCAUGCACCAUAGUGUGGAUGGAUCUUGUUGCUCUCUUGGUGAUGUGCAAAGACUGAUUCUUGGCUCUGUCCUGAGUCUACUGAUGGGACUAGGCAACUGUCAUACAGGAGUUGGAGCCAUAUUCCAGAUCUCAUGGCUGUUAGCUGGUAUUGACGCACCGGUAGAGGACCUCAGAGGGCUUUUAGCUGGUAUUGACGCACCGGUCAUACAGGAGUUGGAGCCAUAUUCCAGAUCUCAUGGCUGUUAGCUGAUAUUGACGCACCGGUAGAGGACCUCAGAGGGCUUUUAGCUGGUAUUGACGCACCGGUCAUACAGGAGUUGGAGCCAUAUUCCAGAUAUUCGAGUUGCUGACCUCCCUGUCCCAGGUGGAAGGCAUCGGUAAAACAGUGUGCAAGAUGUUCGGCUUGUGCCAGGACAAAAAUGACCCCUGCUGGCUAAGAUUGGGGCAUCUUCCAAGUGGUGAAUCAGCAUUCCGCAUUGAGACUACCGGAGCUGGAGAAGGCCUCAAGAAAGGCCUGUCCCGAGAAGCAAUCCGCAUCAACCGAUGCGGUUAAUCAGCCGUCCAAAUCUCGGCUAUCGGAGAUGGAGAGCCCCAAGAAAGGCCUGACCCGAGAAGCAAUAGGUACCAUGCAAGGAUGUCAAUAAUGAAGAUGGGAAACAAAUCAACAGCAGCAUCUUCCAAGGCGGUGAAUCAGCAUUCCGCAUUGAGACUACCGGAGCUGGAGAACGCCCCAAGAAAGGCCUGACCCGAGAAGCAAUGUAAGAAGACACCUAGGAGAUCAAAGAAUAAACAUCUUCCAAGGCGGUGAAUCAGCAUUCCGCAUUGAGACUACCGGAGCUGGAGAAGGCCUCAAGAAAGGCCUGUCCCGAGAAGCAAUCAUCUUCCGUGUCGGUAAAUAAGCCGUCCAAAUCUUGGCAAUCGAAGCUGGACAGCCCUUCAAGAAAUGCCGUACCUGAUAAAAAAUUAAAAACUCCACAAGCGACACCACCAUCAACUUCUUUUUGGAGUUUAAGCGAGGAAGACACACAAGCUCAAAUCAAUAUGAGAGGCCUCGACAGGAAAAACAAAGGCUGCGGAUGUGAACAGUGUAUGUUUGCUUACUGGAGAGGAAAACAAAGGCUGCGGAUGUGAACAGUGAAAGGUCCCCUAGGGGAAAACAGCUGGCUGCAAAGAUGAUGAGAGCUGACAGUUCACUCCAGCCAGGGCAGGCAAACUCCAGCUCCACCUCUAGCUCUAGCCCGGAGCCUCUGCAGCUAACCCCAAGCCCUGAGCCCCUGCCUCCUACCACAUUGAGAACAUCUGCAUGGCUGGAAGCAAGAGAGGGGUACGCUGCAGCGAUGAGCAACGCUUGCGAUCAUUACAGUAUGAAACAAGUUGUUUCAUACUGUGAUGAUGUGCUCAUCCUGCCAGCCACGGAACAGGAGCCGCCGGUCCACAGGGUACUUGAGCCCGUACCCGGGACAUCGAGAAUCUCUAGCCCCCUACAACGAACUGAAGCGAGUGCAAAAUGCAGCUCUAUCCAAAAUGGAGGAGCAGUUUGGUGUUCUGAAGAAAAGUAUGCAAGAAGUGCACCAACUGUUGCCUCAGCAUGAUGAUAGUGAAGAAAUGAUGACAGCCAGAUCACACCUCUGCGAGGAAGAGGAGGCAAGUCUGUAUUCAUCAAA